CAGCAGCCACGGGAAUACGUAGGGUGCAAGCGUUAAUCGGAAUUACUGGGCGUAAAGCGUGCGUAGGCGGUGAGUUAAGUCUGCUGUGAAAUCCCCGGGCUCAACCUGGGAAUGGCAGUGGAUACUGGCUCGCUAGAGUGUGUCAGAGGAUGGUGGAAUUCCCGGUGUAGCGGUGAAAUGCGUAGAGAUCGGGAGGAACAUCAGUGGCGAAGGCGGCCAUCUGGGACAACACUGACGCUGAGGCACGAAAGCGUGGGGAGCAAACAGGAUUAGAUACCCCAGUAGUCCCUGUCUCUUAUAC
rnacentral:rRNA from 1 species